GCUCAAGAACUACAAUGAAUGACGGGACCCGCACAAGCAGCGGAGCGUGUGGUUUAAUCGAUGCUACACGAAGAACCUUACCAAGGUUUGACAUGUAAGUGGUAGUGAUCUGAAAAGUGAACGACCCUUCGGGGAGCUUACACAGGUGCUGCAUGGCUGUCGUCAGCUCGUGUCGUGAGAUGUUCGGUUAAGUCCGCUAACGAGCGCAACCCUCACUGUGUGUUACAUGUGUCACACGGGACUGCCGGUUUUAAGCCGGAGGAAGGCGAGGAUGACGUCAAGUCAGCAUGGCCUUUAUAUCUUGGGCUACACACACGCUACAAUGGUCUGUACAAUAGGUUGCCAAGCCGCGAGGCGGAGCCAAUCCUUAAAGCAGGCCUCAGUUCAGAUUGCAGGCUGCAACCCGCCUGCAUGAAGAUGGAGUUGCUAGUAACCGCAGGUCAGCUAUACUGCGGUGAAUACGUUCCCGGGUCUU
rnacentral:rRNA from 1 species